AUUGCAAGUCUUCAAAUGAUGAUGCAAUAAUAAUUAAAAAAGAAUAGCAUGCGAAAUAAAUACAAAAAUAAAAAUAUUUAUAUAUAUGAAUAUACUUCAAGAAAAGUUUUGAUUUUUCAAGUAUAGUUUUAUAUUAAAUAUAUUUUUAAUCGCGUAAGAAAACCAUGUAAAACAAAUCCGCGUAAGUGAGUUUAAUUUGAUUUUUUUUUAUGCGGUUGAGUAUUAUAUAAUAAAUGGAGUCUACCCGCAUAAAAAAAUUAAACAUUUUGAAAGGUCAGAAUUACAUUUAAAACUAAAAAUAGCAAAUUAUAAACUAUUCAAAAACAUAGUUUUUUACUUUUCACUAUAGGAAUAAAAUUAGUCCGUUUUAUCCGUCAUUCUUUGUUAUCUUUUGUGCGGAUAAUAUUGAUGUGCUCUUCAUUUAAAAAAAAGGUUAGACUAAUGUAAUAAUAAUUAAGCAAAAUUUUUUAACUCUUUGAUAUAGAAACAUAAUUUCCAUAAAUAUCAUAAGAAGAUUUUUCUGAGCGUGUAAAAUUAAGACCACGUAUAAAAAGUGUUUAAACAGAGGGGUUAUUUACCGCGUCAAACAAACCGUGUAUGAAAAGAAUCAUAAAUCGAGAGAUGAGCGUACAUUGUGUUAAAUAAUUUUAUUUAAAAAUACACUUUUAUCAAAAAAAUCAGAAAAAAAACUUAUUUUAAUCGUUCUAGGUACAUGUAACGCUUAAAUCAGAUAAAGAAAAUAAAACUUCUGUGUAUCUAAAAAAUUUAUCUGUAAAACAAAUGGAUAAAUAAUAGAGGAAUCGUAAUAAGAGCCGGUCGUUGCAACUCCUUACCUAUCAGUGACACGCGACGUCUCCUCGUCGAACAACGAGUUAAAAUCGGUAAUGAUGGGUCGCGCGAGAGAAUGUAUGUAUUAAUGUAACAGCAACGGCAACGCGAGAAAGGGUUAAUACAUGCCGCGCUGUCCAGUGCGGGGUUCGGUGCGCUGAUGAAGAUCGACGAACCCUCGGCGGAUUGUGAAAGGCGGCGACGGGCCUUGAAGGGAAACGUUGCACCGGCGAUUGCGGGGAGGAUGUUAUUAAACAACGGCUCGGUGAGAGAGCGAGCUUAUUAUAAAGCGUCGUCGCGUCGGUAGGCUUCACCUCGCGCGGAAAGGAUUAACUAGACCAUGUGAUGCAUCCGCAUUGCACGUCACUCAAGCCGUCGGCUAUCACGCCCGAACACACCGCGUCCACACGCCGAUAGGCACGUGCGAGAGGGUGCGGAAAGGAAAAAAAAAAAAAAA